ACUCGAGUGGCGAACGGGUGAGUAACACGUGGGUGAUCUGCCCUGCACUUCGGGAUAAGCCUGGGAAACUGGGUCUAAUACCGGAUAGGAGCCAUCUUUAGUGGUGGUGGUUGGAAAGUUUUUCGGUGUAGGAUGAGCUCGCGGCCUAUCAGCUUGUUGGUGGGGUAAUGGCCUACCAAGGCGGCGACGGGUAGCCGGCCUGAGAGGGUGUACGGCCACAUUGGGACUGAGAUACGGCCCAG
rnacentral:rRNA from 1 species